rnacentral:rRNA from 1 species
UUCCUACGGGGGGCAGCAGUGGGGGAUAUUGCACAAUGGGGGCAACCCUGAUGCAGCGACGCCGCGUGAGCGAUGGAGUACUUCGGUAUGUAAAGCUCUGUCAGCAGGGAAGAGAAUGACGGUACCUGACCAAGAAGCGCCGGCUAAAUACGUGCCAGCAGCCGCGGUAAUACGUAUGGGGCAAGCGUUAUCCGGAAUUAUUGGGUGUAAAGGGUGCGUAGACGGAAGAACAAGUUGGUUGUGAAAUCCCUCGGCUCAACUGAGGAACUGCAACCAAAACUAUUCUCCUUGAGUGUCGGAGAGGA